UACGGGGGGGGGCAAGCGUUGUUCGGAAUUACUGGGCGUAAAGGGCUCGUAGGCGGCCAACUAAGUCGGACGUGAAAUCCCUCGGCUUAACCGGGGAACUGCUUCCGAUACUGGAUGGCUUGAGUGUGGGAGAGGGAUGCGGAAUUCCAGGUGUAGCGGUGAAAUGCGUAGAUAUCUGGAGGAACACCGGUGGCGAAGGCGGCAUCCUGGACCAUUACUGACGCUGAGUGAGCGAAAGCCAGGGGAGCAAACGGG
rnacentral:rRNA from 1 species